AGUCUGCAGCACGGUCUGCCACUCACGGACUCCCAGUGCCUGAGUGGCUGGUGCUGCAUCCUCUCAUCCCCCCCCUCCUGCAAGGGGUGUCAGGGUAGGGUCACCCACAACAGUUGAGCUCCUCAGCUUGGCCGGAUUUGGAACCACUACGGAGGCAUCUCUCUUUGGUGUGCCUCUGGGGGUGUUCCCAGAAAAGUCGGUUUCGCUCUGCAGGGAGGACUCACCCUAAACGUGUGGUGGUACCGCCCCAUGGGCUUGACAAAGUGAGGAGCUGGUGGGGACGGCAGACGAAGGCAUUCAGGACCCUGCGUGUCGUGGCUCUCCUGUACUGAAGCAAACACCCGGGAUUGGGAUGGACUGGAGAGACCGGUGUGAGAGCCAGCUUCUGUUCCAUUCACUUCAUAUGCAUUUCCCAAGAGAGACAGACACAUUUGCCUUCAAGAUCCUGAGACCACCCAGGCCGUGUGUAGCAGGCUGGAGAUGCAUGGCCUCCUCAGGUGGGCCCUCUCUCACCCUGGAGCCCAGGGAGACUCUGUCGUCUGACCAAGUCUGUGAGCUUUGCUAGAAAGAGCCUUCCAGUCUAGCAUCUUAAUCAAACAGACUUGAAAUGUUUGAUUUUCUUUUUUCUGUUUUCCUGAGAUGAGCUCAGCAUCAACAAAGGACUCACAAACAGCUUUUCCCGGAUGCUCAGGCAUACUUUGCUUUUUAACACCGCUGGUAACGGUGCAGGGAAAGAAGCCCUUGCCAUGUGCAACCAGGACUUAAAACAACAAUGCU